rnacentral:rRNA from 1 species
AGAGUUUGAUCCUGGCUCAGAUUGAACGCUGGCGGCAUGGCUAAAACAUGCAAGUCGAGCGCGAAAGUUCCUUCGGGAGCGAGUAGAGCGGCGAAAGGGCGAGGAAUACGUUUCUAACGUACCCCAAGGUCGGGGAUAGCGGCUGGAAACGGCCGGUAAUACCCGAUGACCCCCGCGGGCCGCAUGGCCUGCGGGGCAAAGGCUUGCUGCCUAGAGAGCGGGGAACGUCCUAUCAGGUUGUUGGUGAGGUAAAAGCUCACCAAGCCUAAGACGGGUAGCGGGUGUGAGAGCAUGACCCGCCGCAUCGGGACUGAGACACUGCCCGGACUCCUACGGGAGGCUGCAGUAACGAAUAUUCCGCAAUGCACGAAAGUGUGACGGAGCAAUGCCGCGUGCAGGAUGAAGCCUCUAGGGGUGUAAACUGCUGUCAGGGUUUAGGAAUAAUGACCAGACCCAAAGGAAGGGCCGGCUAACUUCGUGCCAGCAGCCGCGGUAAUACGAAGGGCCCGAGCGUUGCGCGGAAUCACUGGGCUUAAAGCGUGCGCAGGCGGAUCUGUAAGUACCUUGUGAAAUCCCAUGGCUCAACCAUGGAACUGCUCGGUAUACUGCAAAUCUUGAGAUCGGUAGGGGCCAUCGGAACGAUAGGUGGAGCGGUGAAAUGCGUAGAUAUCUACAGGAAACACAAAGACGAAAGUAGGGCACCUGGGCCCGGUUCUGACGCUCAAGCACGAAAGCGUGGGGAGCAAACAAGAUUAGAUACCCUGUGUAGUCCACCGCGUAAACGAUGUGCACUAGAUUCCAGAAGCUCUGACGCCAUUCCGGGUCGAAGCAAAAAGUGUUAAGUGCACCGGCCUGGGGAGUACGGUCGCAAGGCUAAAACUCAAAGGAAUUGACGGGGCUCACACAAGCGGUGGAGCAUGUGGCUUAAUCGAAAGCAACGCGAAGAACCUUAUCCUGGGUUUGACAUGCACGGAUACCCUCGCCGAAAGGCGAGUAAGUUGCCCAUUCGGGUGGAACAUGCACAGGUGCUGCAUGGCUGUCGUGAGCUCGUGCUGUGAAGUGUCGGGUUAAGUCCCUUAACGAGCGAAACCCUUGCCGCUAGUUGCUAUCGGGGAACGUAAUGCUGAGGACUCUAACGAGACUGCCGGUGUCAAACCGGAGGAAGGUGGGGAUGACGUCAAGUCCUCAUGGCCUUUAUGUCCAGGGCUGCACACGUGCUACAAUGGUAUGUACAGAGCGACGCGAGACCGCGAGGUGGAGCAAAUCGCAAAAAACAUACCCCAGUUCGGAUCGUAGUCUGCAACUCGACUACGUGAAGUUGGAAUCGCUAGUAAUCGCGUAUCAGCUACGACGCGGUGAAUACGUUCCUGAGCCUUGUACACACCGCCCGUCAAGUCAUGGAAGCCGGGAGUGCCCGAAGCCGCCCUAUUUCAGGGGUGUCGAAGGUAAGUUCGGUGACUGGGACUAAGUCGUAACAAGG